UUAUAGGGCAAUGCACUAUCUUCGUUUAAAAGUGCGAAACAAGGCAAGAGGGGAGGGUUCAAUCGUUGAAGCUUGUAUUGUGCAGGAGAUCACGAAUUGUGUUUCUCUUUACUUUAGUGAUCAUGUUCGCACAAUAUGGAAGAAGAAUCCUCGAUAUAAUAAUGGAGGAACACGCGUGCAGAAUGAUGGUUGCACCUUAGAUGUAUUUCAGCAUGUUGGAAACCUACAUGGGAGGCCUAUUGCCCAAGAACUAUCACGUGAAGAGUUGAAUGCAGCAAGGCUGUACAUUUUGACUAACUGCUCUGCUGUUGAUAGAUUUCGUGAAACAUAUGAAGAUGAAAAAUAUGCAAGUCAUCCAAACUUGCCAUCGGAGGGCCUUGAUGAAAUGAUGGCAUCCGAAUUUGUGGAAUGGUUCGAGAUUGCUUGCAAAGAAGAUCCCAAUUCUGAUGAGGACUUGUGGAAUUUAGCUAAUGGAUGCAGCUCUAGAGCCUAUUCCUAUAGCUCCUAUGAUGUGAAUGGCUUUCGCUUUAGAUCAGAGAUAUCUGAGAAAAAACGUAGAAGGUUGAAAACGGUGAACACAGGGGUUUGUUUGUCAUCCUUCAUCUCAGAGACUGAACAACUUGAGUACUAUGGUGUCAUUGAGGAAAUUAUCAAAGUAUCCUUCACAGCUCGUAGAAAAAUUGAGAUGGUACUCUUCAAAUGCCGUUGGUUUGACCCCAUCAAGGGUGUGAAGCCAAAUGCAAAAUUAGGUUUGGUGGAGAUAAAGUGGUCUUCAAGGCUAAGUAAUUUUGAACCAUUUGCCAUGGCUCACCAAGCUACGCAAGCUUAUUACUUGCAUUACGCAUCCUCCAGGAGAGAUCUUCGUGAUUGGAGGGUUGUUUACACUAUUCAGCCAAGUACCAGCUUGAGUAACUUUGAUGACUGCGCAAAUGACCCAUCUACUACAGAUGAAUAUUUCCAGGAAGGUGGUCAGCUGGGUAGUUUUUCUGUAGAUGGUGGCAAAUUUGUUGAUGAAUCUACUGAGCCAAGAAAGGAGUCAGAUGAUGUGGAGCUUGAUCCCUCUAAAAUUUAUGUAAUAGAAAAUCAAGGCAAUAAUUAUGAGGGAGAAGAAUCUUCAGAAGAUGAAUUGGACGAGAGUACUGAUGAGGAAGAAGAAGAUUUACCUGAAGAGGAAGGACAAGAAGAGACAUAUGAGACCGAAGAUGAGGAUGAUGCAAUAGAGCAUGACUCUGAAUAUGACGAUGAUGAUUACUGAACAUUUAUAGCUUUUGCACUUGUCAUUUUCUGUCUUGGUACUAAUAAAUAUUAUAUAGUGGCACAACUAGUGAAUAAUAUAGUAUGUUUACUAUUGGUAGUAAUACAUAUUACAUAGUGAUUUAGUGACACAACUAUUGAAUAAUAUAUUAUGUUUGAUAGUAUUUCUAGUUUAGUUGUUACAUAAUGUUUUCUGUUGUUCUCUUCUUCUACUAUCAUGCCUUUGGUAAUCAUCUACUAAUUUUUUUAUGUGGCUAAUAAGAAUGCAUUUGUCACUAUGUAAAUAGGAUGACCCGCUUGCAUCAUAGGCGUGUCUCAAUGGCUAGGUCGAACAGGUCUUCUUCUAGUGCCUCCAUAGGAAACAAUGGAUCAACUCAGUCAACUGUACAGGCUAAAAAGCCUAGAACACCAAGAACUAGGACUUCAGCCGGUCUCAGACUAGAGGAAAUUGACCGACCGCUUAUAGUUCCCGUUGGCAUGGCAUGGGAAAGGCACCCAUACAACGCUCGUGAUCCAUCAAUGGUGCUAGGUGCCUUAGUGCGCCAGAUGUAUCCACCGCCAAUUGGUCCAAAAAAUGAUCAGAAACCGGUAUUGUGUUGGGAGGACUACAAGUGGUCCCCUGGUCCAGAAGUAAGAACAGCAGCUUCCAAAAUAGUGGAAGAUUUUUGGUGGCGUUUCAAGUGUGACCCAUCGGAGCAAGAGAAGGCAGAUGGUGUUUUGGAGGAGAACUUAACUAGGAAAGUGAAGCAGAUGCUACAUGAGGAAAAGGCGGCAGCCAUCAAAAGAUUAAAGAAGAAGGGACAAUUGCCUACAGAACUAACAGAAGAGGAUGAGGAUGGUAACCGCUGGCCAACUAAGGAAGCUUUAAUUUCUGCAAAGAGAGUUGACUUUGGUAUAGACGUUGGUUGGCGUCUACUAUGUGAGCACUGGAGUAGUACUGAAUUUAGAGGGUUAUCUUUAACCAACAAAAGGAACAGACUUGCUAAUGGGGACACGGUCUUCCAUUGCAGUGGUGCUAGAAAUGUUGUCGCCACACGUCAAUUUCUGAAACUCAAAACCGGGAAAGACCCUGGAAUUUCUGGUGCUUGGCUUCACACGCACAAAUUGCAUCGAGGGACUGAUGAAGAGCAGAUAUGCAGUCAAAGAACUGCUGAUCAUUGGGAGGAUUUUGAUAAGGCAAUGAAAAAUGCCCAUGGAGAAAAUUGGGAAGAGGAGCACCCGGAUUUAGAUGGACAAAUCAUCUACGAAGCAGCAGGCAGAAUGCCACAUGGCAGGCUGGGAAUUGCUAAUGAGUUGUUUAGCAAAGCAGAGAAGGCGAAGUUUAAGUCUAAAAGGGCGAUGGCCUCACAGCCGGUGCAAUCUGCUAAGGAGGAGCGUCUAGAAAGAGAAAACAAAUAUUUGAAGCAGGAGAUCAAGCGUCUUCGAGGCAUUGAGCUUGUUGUUCAGUCUUUGGCUGAGAAAGGGGGAGUCGACUUUGAUGGCAUAAUGCAAUCAGCAACAGAUGACUUGUCUCCAUCAUAUUCUGAAGGCGGAUUUCAAAGGGGACGAGGUGAUGUGCCUCAACACCAAACCGAAAAGGGAAUGGGAAGCAGGACUGGAGGCAGUACGAGUCAUGGAAAUGAUGAUGAGGACGACGACUAUGGCAAUGGGGGAUAUGGUAACUAUGGCGAGGGUGAUCUGUAUGGUGAUGAGCACUAUGAUCACUAUGGUGAUGGGGAAUAUGAUGACUAUGGAGAUGAGGAUGACUAUGGGUAUGGCUAUGGCGGUGGCGAUGGCGAUGAUGAUGAUUGGCUAUAAAAUCUAAUGAUCUUCAAGUCAUGUCAAAAUGUAGUUGUGUUAGAUAUUUGAAACACUUUAUUAUCUUAUGGACAAAUUUGUCUUAGUGGACAAUUUAUCUUAUGCAAAAUGUGGCCUAUCUCAGUUACUAUUUUGUUCUGCAUUCGACAUUUGAUAAUUAUGGUUAAUGCAAUUUGGAUGUAACUCAAUACCUUGUGCUUGUGUAUGAGAUGGAAUGAAACACCCCUUGGUGAA
rnacentral:rRNA from 1 species